ACCAGAGCAGUUGUGAGUUCUUUCACGUUCUCUCGCCGCCACUGCUCCAUCUCUCUCCGUCGGCGCGCGUCCCACCGCCUCCGACGGGGAUCCCUAAUUGGAUGGCGCGGCGCUCAGUACUUCUCCACUAUGGUACGAUUCUUGGCCUCCAUUAAACAGCGCCUUUUCGCCGCCACCCAUAUCCCCACCGGACGCCUCUCCAUGUCGCCACCCUCAUGCGAUCCUGCCCUCUCGAUCCCCGCGUUGCUCCGGACUUUUUCCGCUGGAUCGAACGACACUCAUGUUUCCUUCACACCUUCGAUUCCUGUUCUUCCCUGCUUCAAAUCGUUGCCAGAUUCGGCCUCCACCGCCCCGCCGAGGAGAUCGUUGUCUCCGUGAUUAGGUCAUGCUCCACCGCUGAAAUUGACUCGGUUCUUGAAACUUCAAAUCCUUGCAUCUGACGGGUUUCACGCAGUUUAUCCAAAGCUGUAAUUUAAUGCUGAUGGCUCUUGCAGGGCUAAUAUGAAGGACUUAUACGAACAAAUGCAAAAAAGAUGAUAUAUUUCCCAAUCUUCAUAUCUACAAUACAAUGAUCAAUGCAAAUUGCAAGAAAGGGAAAGUUAUCGAUGAAUUAGAUCCAGAUACUCACACAUACAGCUCAUUCAUCUUGGUCUAUUGUGCAGAUGAUGAUUUGGAGCAGGGUCUGGUCCCAAAUGUUGUUACUUUACAAUGUUUUGAUUGAUGGCUACUGCAAAAUUAGGAAGGUUGAUCACACCUUCCAUUCCAUGUAUUGGAUUUGAGGAAGUCCAGAGGGUGUAAGCCAAAUGUGAGGACUUAUACUGAAUUAGUUUGUGGGCUUUUCUUCAGAUGAAGAUGCACAAGGCAAUGACAUUAUUAACUAAGAUGCUUAAGGAUGCAGUACUAACCAUGUCAAUUACACUACAUUGGUUCAGGGAUACUAUAUGGAAAGUGACACAAAAAAUUGGAUUUAGGUUGCUGCAUUUGAUGGAGAAGUGAGGCUUAUUUCCCAUGAUAACUGAAAUGAAGAGAAAUAGAGUUGACAAUCCAUAUAUUGAUGGAUUGAUAAAUGUGAGUUUUUUUGGUCAAGCUUUGUCUAGUUCUAUAUUAUGAUAAAAGAUGCAUGUGAGCCCAAUGAUGAAACUUACUUCCUAUUGCUGAAAUCCUAUUGAAAAAGAAAUAAGCUGAUGUUACCUUCAUAGAUGAUGCUGAUAUGUGGGGAAAAGUGGGUAUCGAUAUAGUCUCAAAGCUGUUUACAAGAUUCUGAACAAGGUUGCAACCCAAUAGUAAAAUCUUACAGUUUUUGUUGAAGCUUUUUGCAAGGUGCAUCGCUUGGUGGAAGCUAAGGCUUUGCUCUUCCACAUGCAAGAAGCCUCUAAACUUCCUAAUGCAGAUACAUAUACACCUCUAAUUAUUUGUUGCUGUAGACUAAACAAGUAUUUAGAAGCUCUAUCAUUUUUUGAUUCCAUGGUUUCAUGUGGUCAUCUGCCAUAUCUUGCAUCUUAUCAGCUACUGCAUUGAGCAUUCUGGACAUUGUGAAGAAGGAAGCUUUGAUGAAGUUAAAUCAGUUUUCACUAGCUUUCUUUUGAAGGGUUAUAGGUGCGAUGAAAUUGCAUGGAAAAUUCUCAUUGACACUUUACUUGAGAAAGGUCAUCUUGAUUUGUGCUCUGAUUGUUUGACUAUGAUGGAGGAAUGAAGUGUUUUCCUAGUCCUGUGAUAUAUACAGCUUUGGCCAAGAAACAUUCAUAUGUAAUUAAUGGGCUCCCUAAUGAUUGACAUUGACUUGCAGAUAUCUAUAUAUCAAAGCUUCAUAUGUUCACAUUGGACCAGUUCAAAUGCACAAAGCAAUUUGUUCAGUAAUGUAAUCAGUGUUGUGCAUUUGGAACAGAUUUUGAUCUUUGAAGAUCCCAUUCAAAGAUCCAAGCAGCUAUCUCAUUGGAGAGUCAAACCAUCAUUGGGCAGGGAUUAGGGGAAGCCAGCUUGCAGUGAUGAAAAAGAGUUAAUCAUCGCCUAAGUUCAAACCAUCAAGAGUGUUUUUUUAGCUUAUUCUUUUAUAGGAACUCUCCUGUGCCUUUGCUGCUACUGAGGAGCUGACGGUAUGGUAUUACUGGGCGACACAUAAUAUUUUGCAGUCUAGGGAACAAAUGACAAUUUCAAAAUCAUAGGGGUAAAGUAAUAUUUUCCAUUUUCUUCUUUUUUGUAUUAUUGAAAAUUUCUUUGUUGCUGUCUUUCUUGGUUCUUAAUUUUCUUCUGCUUCAAUUACUAACUUCUAGAUCUUGAUUCUGGAUAGUUUAUUGUUAUAAGAACAUCCUGGAAUAAUACUAAUUUAAUGACUUCAAAACUUGACAGAUGGAUUUGGAUUAGUGCAACCUUAAGUGUUUGGUAUCUCUACAAUGAGUCGUGGUAAAGAGUAUUCAAUACACUCAUAUGUCCACAAUCUCUUGCUCACCUUUAGAUUUUGAAACAGUAAAUCGAAUUGUAGAAUAUUAUUUCCCUGAAUGAAGUAAAUAACUUUCAACUAUAAAAAAAUUUAUUGUCCCCAUAGGGGUGCCUAGUUGGCUAGAGGGUGAUAUAUUUGCUACAAGGGAACGGAUUAAUUCUCAGCAGGUGCAUGCUAUUGGCGAAAAACUUCUUCCACCCUCUAGUCACUUGCCAGUUUAUUAUAAGUUGAUCUCGUGAUUUACUUUCCUUCACAUAAUUUGGGAACAAGUUGUGAAGGGCGCAUGGGAUGAGCAUAAUCACUUUUUAUUGCAGCAACUAUAACAAGAAUUAUUAUUUUACCUCAUUUGGCAUGGACACAACAUGAUUAUGUUUUAAUAAUAAAUUGGUGAGUACAAACCAAUCACUACCAAAAAAAAAAAAAAGUUAGCAGUUAGGAAGGAAAAAAAAUAGGUUGGAAAGUUGAUUUAGUACAAAUAAAAUAGAUAAAUAUAUGAUGGAACAAAUCAUUGAUUGAUUAUGUUCCUAGAGGACCAAGAUCAAAUCUAGCAACAUAUGGAUGUCUAGAUUCAUUUGUUUGAUUUUGUUCAUCUCGUCCACUUUGAAGAAACCCUACUUCAAUCAUGUACUCAAUUUUCAACUGUAUGUCCUUUAUACAAAAGGAUGAGAUAGAAAGAAAGAUUUUUUCCUUAAUGGAUAGUAGAUCUGAGAAUGUUGGCUUUCAGGAUGGGCUUCCAUGUGCACUUUCCCGAUUUAUCCAGGUGUCCGGUGAGAAAUUUCGUGGGGCUGGACCGAUCAUCCCAGAUUUGACGUUAGACCUACUUAAUCAUUUUUUUAAUGAGAUAGAAUGAAAGAGAUAUUUGCUUGCAUAAUGUAAGUAUAAAAGUUACAUUUAUUUAGUCCAUCAUUAUUGAUUAUUUAGGAUGACAUAGUCAAAAUUAAAAAUAUUUUCUCAAAUUAGUUCACUUCAAACUCACUCCAUGACAAAUCCAAAAAACCUAAAGUUUAUUGAACAUUUAUCUUUUUACCAACAUAGGUUUUGCCUCAGGUUUCAUUCAGUUCAAUUUAUU